UCCAGCUCUUCGCCGGCAGUUCCCUAAGAGUGCCCGGCCGAACCGAUGGCAACAUAGGAUAAGGGUCGCGCUCGUUGCGGGACUUAACCCAACAUCUCACGACACGAGCUGACGACAACCAUGCAGCACCUCUACCGGCUCCCUUGCGGGUCAUUCCUGUUUCCAGGUUUUACCACCGGCUCUUCAAGCCCAGGUAAGGUUUUUCGCGUUGCGUCGAAUUAAACCACAUACUCCACCGCUUGUGCGGGUCCCCGUCAAUUCCUUUGAGUUUUAACCUUGCGGCCGUACUCCCCAGGCGGUCGACUUCACGCGUUAGCUUCGUUACUGAGAGUGUCAAACCCCCAACAACCAGUCGACAUCGUUUAGGGCGUGGACUAC
rnacentral:misc_RNA from 1 species